UACAGAGGUCCCAAGCGUUGUUCGGAUUCACUGGGCGUAAAGGGUGCGUAGGUGGCGGGGUAAGUCGGAUGUGAAAUCUCCGAGCUCAACUCGGAAAUGGCAUUGGAAACUGCUCUGCUCGAGGGUUGGAGGGGGGACUGGAAUACUUGGUGUAGCAGUGAAAUGCGUAGAUAUCAAGUGGAACACCAGUGGCGAAGGCGAGUCCCUGGACAACUCCUGACACUGAGGCACGAAAGCUAGGGGAGCAAACAGGAUUAGAUACCCUGGUAGUCCUAGCCGUAAACGGUGCACGUUUGCUGUAAAAGGAAUCGACCCCUUUUGUGGCGUAGCCAACGCGUUAAACGUGCCGCCUGGGAAGUACGGUCGCAAGAUUAAAACUCAAAGAAAUUGACGGGGGCCUGCACAAGCGGUGGAGUAUGUGGCUCAAUUCGAUGCAACGCGAAGAACCUUACCUGGCCUUGACAUGUACGUAGUAGAAGGGUGAAAGCCUGACGAGGUAGCAAUACCAGCGUACACAGGUGCUGCAUGGCUGUCGUCAGCUCGUGUCGUGAGAUGUUGGGUUAAGUCCCGCAACGAGCGCAACCCCUGUGUCCUGUUGCCACCCCGGCGAGAGUCGGGAGCACUCUGGACAGACUGCCUCGCUUAAACGAGGAGGAAGGUGGGGAUGACGUCAAGUCAGUAUGGCCCUUACGGCCAGGGCUGCACACGUACUACAAUGCCCGGCACAAAGGGAAGCAAGACCGCAAGGUGGAGCAAAUCCCCAAAAACCGGGCCCAGUUCAGAUCGUCGUCUGCAACUCGACGGCGUGAAGUUGGAAUCGCUAGUAAUGGCGCAUCAGCUACGGCGCCGUGAAUACGUUCCCAGGCCUUGUACACACCGCCCGUCACAUCAUGAAAGCCGUUUGUACCCGAAGUCACUGUGCUAACCGCAAGGAAGUAGGUGCCGAAGGUAUGGAUGGUGAUUGGGAUG
rnacentral:rRNA from 1 species